rnacentral:rRNA from 1 species
GAUGAACGCUGGCAGCGUGCUUAACACAUGCAAGUCGAACGAAACACCUUAUUUGAUUUUCUUCGGAACUGAAGAUUUGGUGAUUGAGUGGCGGACGGGUGAGUAACGCGUGGGUAACCUGCCCUGUACAGGGGGAUAACAGUCAGAAAUGACUGCUAAUACCGCAUAAGACCACAGCACCGCAUGGUGCAGGGGUAAAAACUCCGGUGGUACAGGAUGGACCCGCGUCUGAUUAGCUGGUUGGUGAGGUAACGGCUCACCAAGGCGACGAUCAGUAGCCGGCUUGAGAGAGUGAACGGCCACAUUGGGACUGAGACACGGCCCAAACUCCUACGGGAGGCAGCAGUGGGGAAUAUUGCACAAUGGGGGAAACCCUGAUGCAGCGACGCCGCGUGAGUGAAGAAGUAUUUCGGUAUGUAAAGCUCUAUCAGCAGGGAAGAAAAUGACGGUACCUGACGAAGAAGCCCCGGCUAACUACGUG